rnacentral:tRNA from 1 species
GUUAUCGUAGCUUAAUUAAAGCAUAAUACUGAAGAUAUUAAGACGGAACCUAAAAAAUCCCGAAAACA